GGAUGUAGCUCAGUGGUAGAGUGUGUGCCUGGCAUGCACAAAGAGCCCUGGGUUCAACUCCCAGCACCACACA